UACCAGCACCCCGAGUGGUCGGGACGUUUAUUGGGCCUAAAGCAUCCGUAGCCGGUUCUACAAGUCUUCCGUUAAAUCCACCUGCUUAACAGAUGGGCUGCGGAAGAUACUAUAGAGCUAGGAGGCGGGAGAGGCAAGCGGUACUCGAGUGGGUAGGGGUAAAAUCCGUUGAUCCAUUGAAGACCACCAGUGGCGAAGGCGGCUUGCCAGAAUGCGCUCGACGGUGAGGGAUGAAAGCUGGGGGAGCAAACAGG
rnacentral:rRNA from 1 species